rfam:Oryza brachyantha chromosome 5, whole genome shotgun sequence.
CCAUGCAUCACUGGGCAGGUCUCCCUUGGCAGUGGACGAGAUGAUCAAAACCGGCAGCCACUGCCAAAGGAGACUUGCCCAGCAAUGCAGCU